rnacentral:rRNA from 1 species
UACGAAGGGUGCAAGCGUUACUCGGAAUUACUGGGCGUAAAGCGCACGUAGGCGGCUUUGUAAGUUAGAGGUGAAAGCCCGGGGCUCAACCCCGGAAUAGCCUUUAAGACUGCAUCGCUUGAACACGGGAGAGGUGAGUGGAAUUCCGAGUGUAGCGGUGAAAUGCGUAGAUAUCUGGAGGAACACCGGUGGCGAAGGCGGCAUCCUGGACCGAUACUGACGCUGAGGAGCGAAAGCCAGGGGAGCAAACGGG